rnacentral:lncRNA from 1 species
UAGAGACACAGUUUCACUAUGUUGCCUGGGCUGGUCUUGAACUCCUGUGCUCAAGCAAUCCUCUCGCCUCAGCCUCCCACAGUGCUGGGAUUACAGGCACAAGCCACUGCAUCCAGCCCGUGCGUGUUUUUGAGUGCACCAAUUCCAGCUCUAAGAUUGACGAGAUCCUACUGGCCUGGACCUGACUGUAAGCCAAAACCUGAUACUGCUGUCUGCUCUGUGCUGUUUCAGUCUCAGCAUGUGCUGUGCUAAAUUAAAAACGGGCGCACACUCCAGGAACAGCACUUCGACUAUGAGACCAUUGCAGACUUAGGGCACCCUCCGUGGGACCUAAACUGAAAACAUCAUGGAUGCUGACUGGACCAUCUGGAUCACAUAAAAAUGCCCACAGGAAAGGGCUUCUUUUUGUUUUUUGAGACGGAGUCUCACUGUCUCCCCCAGGCUGGAGUGCAGUGGCGUGAUCUCAG